rnacentral:siRNA from 1 species
UUCACUGUUCAUCCGCGCC